UGCGUAGGUGGUAUGGCAAGUCAGAAGUGAAAACCCAGGGCUUAACUCUGGGACUGCUUUUGAAACUGUCAGACUGGAGUGCAGGAGAGGUAAGCGGAAUUCCUAGUGUAGCGGUGAAAUGCGUAGAUAUUAGGAGGAACAUCAGUGGCGAAGGCGGCUUACUGGACUGAAACUGACACUGAGGCAACGAAGCGUGGGAGCAAACA
rnacentral:rRNA from 1 species